AUUAGCGGGGAUCUGAAGUGCUUGUCAAGUAUAUACUUUUGUGCUAAAACGACUAAUAUUUCGCUGCUGCGCAAUAGAUAAAGUGUGCUUACGGGAACAGAUUUGGCUGUAAUCAUUUAUGUACGAUAACUGAUCUGACAUAGUCAAAUAUUAUUUGAUAUUCUCAAAAAAGAGCAAGAUGGAUAAACGGACUAUCUACUUCAUAUGCUAUGUGUUUCUUCUCACCAUGCCAACACUAGUGCUGUGUUGGAACCAGCAACCGGAAGUAGAGUCUUUGACAAACAUUGCGCAGGACGAAGAGGAACCAGCCAUACAUCGCCGCAGUGUGAAUCGCCGUCGUGGUAGAUAUCGUCCUGUUGUUUACCAUUGCGUGGAGGGUAGGGGUAGGUGUCGACUAUUCACGUGCCUGCGUACAGAGUAUGAACAAGUGUAUGCCGAUAUUGAGUGCCCAAUAGCCAUCUACAAGUGUUGCAGACCCUACUAUAUGCCAUGGCAGUUACGUUUUACUUUAUUCAUCA